rnacentral:rRNA from 1 species
AGGACGAACGCUGGCGGCGUGCUUAACACAUGCAAGUCGAGCGGUGAUCCUCCUUCGGGAGGUGAUCAGCGGCGAACGGGUGAGUAACACGUGGGCAACCUGCCCCUCACACUGGGAUAACCUCGGGAAACCGGGGCUAAUACCGGAUACGACCUCGAGCGGCAUCUCUUGAGGUGGAAAGCUCCGACGGUGAGGGAUGGGCCCGCGGCCUAUCAGCUUGUUGGUGGGGUAAUGGCCUACCAAGGCGACGACGGGUAGCCGGCCUGAGAGGGCGACCGGGCCAACGACCUGGGACUGAGACACGGCCCAGACUCCUACGGGAGGCAGCAGUGGGGAAUAUUGCGCAAUGGGCGAAAGCCUGACGCAGCGACGCCGCGUGAGGGAUGAAGGCCUUCGGGUUGUAAACCUCUUUCAGCAGGGACGAAGCGAAAGUGACGGUACCUGCAGAAGAAGCGCCGGCUAACUACGUGCCAGCAGCCGC